rnacentral:rRNA from 1 species
AUGACGGUGCCGCUGCUCUCACGCCCGGCGAAAUUGAUGCAUUCGGUUGCCCCCUCGACCUCCUCGCUGCCGCCUGCUGUUGUUCUUCAGUCAGAUGCACUGGCGCAUGUAAGGCGUUCGACGGGAUACCACAUCCACGAAGUUGAUCAGGGCAUCAAGCAGCAACCAUGGCCGCCUCCAAUUCGAGUGCAGAUCACAACUGAUGAUGAUAUGCAGGUCCUUGGCAAGGCUGUGGAUGGUGACAUUGGCUCUCUGUGGUGGCCACCUGACCACCAGCCAAGGAUGAAAAUCAAGUUGCCAGAAUGGCAUCUUCCUAUUCAGUUACAGACUUUGUUUGUCACUUCUGUGGAGUUGCAACCAUGGCCUUCUGGGCAGCUCACUUUCUUGGUUCCCACUUGUUAUAGUGAGAUGAUUCCUGCUUCUGCUCAUGUUCGAACAAAUAGCAGGGAGUGCACCAUCCAAUCUGCACUGCACAGCUCUUGUGAACAAUUUCAAAGGAGAGUUGCAUGGACUCUCAGUUUUAUGAAGAAAACAUCUGAUCGUAGGCCCGGCCUUGUGCACAAGUUUCAGUUUCUGUUACCAUCCGACACUCCUCGAGCAGUACACCUUUGGUCUGAACUACAAAUUGUGGAAUUCAGUCAGCAUCAGUUUAUUAUUCGUACGCACGUCAGUGAGUUAGCUAGUCGCUUUGUCUUGAGAAAUUGUGGAGCACUAGAGAUUGGUCGCAUGUGGUACUGGUUUAUGCUGCUGUUUGGGGGAUUCCUAUUCAUGGAAAAAUGCUGGGAGCAGUACAGAUUAUGA